UGGAUCCUACAGGACGCAGCAGUAGGGAAUUUUCGUCAAUGGGCGCAAGCCUGAACGAGCAAUGCCGCGUGAACGAGGAAGGUCUUCGGAUCGUAAAGUUCUGUUGAAGGGGAAAAAGAGCGGAGAGAGGAAAUGAACUCCGAUUGAUAUUACCCUUCGAGGAAGUCACGGCUAACUACGUGCCAGCAGCCGCGGUAAUACGUAGGUGGCGAGCGUUAUCCGGAAUGAUUGGGCGUAAAGGGUGCGUAGGCGGCCUGCUAAGUCUGGAGUGAAAGGUACCGGCUCAACCGGUACAGGCUCUGGAA
rnacentral:rRNA from 1 species